GUGCGCUGACCCUGGUGCUCAAGGGGGUACGCAGCUGAAGGUUGAAUGUUUGAAGGGGUACAGGACUUUAAAAAGUUUGGGAACCACUGCUUCUAGUCUAACAUUCGGACACCUGAGAGGUUGGGACCACUUUGCAAUUAAGUAGCGUUUGAAACAUGUCUUCUUUAUGAGGUGGUCAUACGACGAGCUCCAACAAUUUAUCUGUAAAGAGCCUCACUACCUCUAGCUACCUUACCUACUACACCGUACACUUACUUCACUGUUCCACUAUCUGAAAUUAUACUGGGUUUUUUUUCCUCAAGCGCGCCCACGAAUACGCGUUCACGUUUGGCAGCUCCACGUCGACAUUCUUCCAGCUACAGACUGAACUGCACAGGGCUGAAAGAAUAGAAUAAGAGGUAAAAACGGCGUGAAUGCACCAAUACGAACACUGUAUAGAGGCUCCAAAGAGGGACGUCAACCGCGAAAUUAGGAAGUGGAAAAACUCUUGCUUGCUUUGAUAGUUUGUCCUGCAACCGUUGUAGAUAGGCCACUGUUUUUUGCAUUUUAUUAUCGGUUUGCCCUCGUGCUUGAUCGCAGCUGUUCCCCUUUAAGAGCUGCCGUUUCUACCAGGUGGAGUAGUGAAAAAGGGGGUUGGCACUGUGGCUGUCCAAGUAAAGUUCUGCGAUACACUUCGACUCUAAUUGUUUGCAGUCAGUGCAUUACAGAACUUUAUUUUGGGAGUUAAUGCUCUGGGCCUGAGGGAAAUAAAUCUACCAUCUGGAGAGCGGGAGCAUUAUUCCACAACAUGGCCACUUGCAGACUUCAAUAGGGAAACUCCCUUGUCACUAAAUAUGUUCUUUGAAUAAACUUUCUUUUGACAAUGA